rnacentral:lncRNA from 1 species
CUUUUUGCAGUAUGGUAGCGCUGCAGAGAGCUUGCUGGGGAGACCAUGCAUUAAAAAGGGACUCAAAAAUAAUUUAAACAAGGUUUUAAUAAGAAAAACAAAAACUCCUUUUACACUAAAUACAUUAACAAACAAACAUGACCCAACCACCAACCCAUCCCCCAGGGUAAUGGGAGAGCUAGGUGCUGCUCCUUAUAUACUACACCCAAUUGCCAACACAGCUUAAUCAGUACAACUCGGCAGCACCUGCUAUGUUUCACAGCUGUAACGCUGGGUCUCGUUAUCUUGCUCUGGCCCUUGCUUUGGCCCCUUAAAGACAUACACAUCGGGUGGAACAAUGAUGAACCUUUACAUAUUAAAACCAUUCAACAUUUCCCCUGCGGUUCAUCAUUGUGGAACAAAAACAUAAAGCAUACUUUGUACAUGUUUUUCAUGUAUACCUUUUGGAAGUGCUUUAGUAAAAAUGUCUGCAAUUUGAUUGUCACCUGGAACAUAUUUAAAUACAACCAUUUCAUCAGCAAUUAGUUUCUUUACAAACUGUAAACGUAAUCUUAAGACUUUAGUGCGCUGCGUAUUGGUUUCUGAACAUAGGAUAGCGAGUCCACUCUGGGAAUCAAGGUAAACUUUUACUGGUAGUGUUACUUGCAUCUGUAGGUCUGCGAAUACUUGCAGAUACCAUUCCACAUCACGAGUGGCCUGAACACAUGCACAUAAUUCACUCUCUGUUGUGGAGAGACAAAUAAUGGUUUGUGUCUGGGACUUCCAUUCAAAUGGACAACCAUUAUAACAAAACACCAUACCAGACACACCCCUGCAAUUAUUUUGUUCCACUGCAUGAGAUGCAUCACAGAAAAUUUCAAAACCUUUGUCAAUACAUGUUGUAAACUGCAACCUAUAAUGUUUGGUAUGUUUAAGGUACAUUACCACUCUCUUAAGAGCAGAGAAACAUUGUGUAGUGGGCUUUUCCACAAAUUUUGCCAGAAAGUGAAAGGCAUAAGUUAUAUCUGGUCUUGAGAUUCUUUGAAUGAAAUUUAGCUUGCCUAUAGCAGAACGAUACAAAGUUUUGUUAGGAAAUGGCUUAUCUUCACCUGUAAAAGUGAAACCACACACCAUGGGCGUUUCCUUCCCAUUUGCAUUUUCUAAACAUAGCAUUUCAACAAGAUCAUCAAUUUUUGCAGUUUGAUGAACCAGAAAAGAUCCAUUUUUGCCUUUCUCAAUUUGCAUGGAUAAGUAAUUUUUAGCUAUGCCUAAUUCCACCACAUCAAAUUUCUUCUGUAACUGUGUUACUACCUGUUCAUAUUCCUGUUUAGUUUUUGUAGAAAUUAACACGUCAUCUACAUAGACACAUAUUUUUGCUACAGAGUUUGCCCUUUCCUUUAUAAACACACAAUUGUCUGCCUUUCCCUGUGAAAAACCAAUAUCCAGCAAUUCUUUUGCUAAAGUUUGGUGCCAAUUCCUUCCACUUUGGUGCAGACCAUAAAGGGAUUUAUUUAAUUUGCAUACCAAACCUUCAGCGGCGUCUAUGCCUUCAGGGACACGCAUAAAAAUUUGUUCUUUUAAAUCUGCAAACAAAUAUGCAGUUUUUAUAUCUAGGUGAUAAACAGAAUGUCCACGUUGUGAUGCAUCUUUUAACAAAAGCUUAACUGUUUCAUAUUUUACACUUGGUGAAUAACACAAAUCAUAAUCUUCGCCUGGAAUUUGUUGAAAACCCCUAGCAACUAAUCUUGCCUUGUACCUUACAACUUCAUUUUUGUCAUUCAUUUUAACUCUAUAAACCCAUUUUGAAUCAAUAAGUCUCAUAUCUGGGGUUUGUGGUACAAGAGACCAAGUGUUAUGCUCUUUUAAAGAAGCUAUUUCAGAGUUCAUAGCUUUAUACCAAUUUACAGCUUGGUGCUUAGGUAAAUUCUGAACAUCAUUGUAGCUUUUGGCUCAAAAACUGCCUUAUUGGCAUACACAGUAUUAAAAUGUUCAUCUGC